rnacentral:rRNA from 1 species
AUUGAACGCUGGCGGCAUGCCUUACACAUGCAAGUCGAACGGCAGCACGGGUGCUUGCACCUGGUGGCGAGUGGCGAACGGGUGAGUAAUACAUCGGAACAUGUCCUGUAGUGGGGGAUAGCCCGGCGAAAGCCGGAUUAAUACCGCAUACGAUCUACGGAUGAAAGCGGGGGACCUUCGGGCCUCGCGCUAUAGGGUUGGCCGAUGGCUGAUUAGCUAGUUGGUGGGGUAAAGGCCUACCAAGGCGACGAUCAGUAGCUGGUCUGAGAGGACGACCAGCCACACUGGGACUGAGACACGGCCCAGACUCCUACGGGAGGCAGCAGUGGGGAAUUUUGGACAAUGGGCGAAAGCCUGAUCCAGCAAUGCCGCGUGUGUGAAGAAGGCCUUCGGGUUGUAAAGCACUUUUGUCCGGAAAGAAAUCCUUGGCCCUAAUACGGUCGGGGGAUGACGGUACCGGAAGAAUAAGCACCGGCUGACUACGUG